AGUCUAGCUCUGUCAAUGAAUCCUCUACACAUCUACACCUGCAGCUCUGCUGGAGCCGCCACAAGCCCUGGGGGUUUUGAAAUGCCUACAGUCUGGGUUCUGAAAGGAACCACAUAGGUCUGGAUUCAAAUCCAUGCUCUAUCUUAUUCACUGGGUUUCCUUGGAUGAGGAAACUCAUGGAUGCAGAAUUCUGAGGACAUUGAGAGAAGAGCCAGAUUUCAAGUUGUUUGAACACGGAACAGAGAUAAU
rnacentral:lncRNA from 1 species